rnacentral:rRNA from 1 species
GUGCACCAGUCGCGAAAACUUGUCAAUGCACGAAAGUGUGAACGGGCUACCCCGAGUGCCGUCCGCUGAGGAUGGCUUUUCUCUGCUGUAAGAAGGCAGAGGAAUAAGGAGAGGGCAAGUCUGGUGUCAGCCGCCGCGGUAAUACCAGCUCUCCGAGUGGUAGGGAUGAUUAUUGGGCUUAAAGCGUCCGUAGCUGGCCUUUCAAGUCUCUUGUUAAAUCCAGCGAUUCAAUCGUUGGACUGCGGGAGAUACUGUUAGGCUAGGGGGCGGGAGAAGCCGACGGUAUUUCCGGGGUAGGGGUAAAAUCCAUUAAUCCCGGGAGGACCACCAGUGGCGAAGGCGGAGCGCCAGAGCACGCCCGACGGUGAGGGACGAAAGCUAGGGGAGCAAACGGGAUUAGAUACCCCGGUAGUCC